rnacentral:rRNA from 1 species
CAGCCGCCGCGGUAAUACGGAGGGUGCAAGCGUUAUCCGGAUUCACUGGGUUUAAAGGGUGCGUAGGCGGGUAGGUAAGUCAGUGGUGAAAUCCUGGAGCUCAACUCCAGAACUGCCAUUGAUACUAUCUAUCUUGAAUAUUGUGGAGGUAAGCGGAAUAUGUCAUGUAGCGGUGAAAUGCUUAAAUAUGACAUAGAACACCCAUUGCGAAGGCAGCUUACUACGCAUAUAUUGACGCUGAGGCACGAAAGCGUGGGGAUCAAACAGGAUUAGAUACCCUGGUAGUCCACGCCCUAAACUAUGGAUACUCGACAUAUGCGAUACACUGUAUGUGUCUGAGCGAAAGCAUUAAGUAUCCCACCUGGGAAGUACGUUCGCAAGAGUGAAACUCAAAUGAAUUGACGG